rnacentral:rRNA from 1 species
AACGUAGGAGACGAGCGUUAUCCGGAUUUACUGGGUGUAAAGGGCGUGUAGGCGGUUUUGUAAGUCAGAUGUGAAAUCUCCGGGCUUAACUCGGAAACUGCAUCUGAAACUAUAAAACUUGAGUACUGGAGAGGAUAGUGGAAUUCCUAGUGUAGCGGUAAAAUGCGUAGAUAUUAGGAGGAACACCAGUGGCGAAGGCGACUAUCUGGACAGUAACUGACGCUGAGGCGCGAAAGCGUGGGGAGCAAACAGGAUUAGAUACCCGUGUAGUCCCUGAG